AUGGUGUUGGAGGCCCACCCAGAAAUCAUCCCACAUGGAUCUUCAUACACACACUUCCUCCUACUGAACAUCCCCUACCAUUUAACAGAGACAGAAAAUGGCACAUGAACCCUUUGUCAGUCUCGCUGGCACUUAGAACAUGGGUGUGUGGUCCAGCUAUCAGAUAAAGGGAAACCCGCUGAGAUUGAGUGUUACACAUUGGAUCAGUCAUCUCCAAAUGCGAUAUGUUUAUGAAAUUCCUCCCCUCAAGGCUCGGGGACCCAUGAGGAAAAGGAGGCAGGAAGAUAGAAGGGACCAGACGUGAUGUAUGACCCCAAGGAAACAGCUUCUUUCACAAACUGCAGGACUGAUACACAUAAAAACUCAUGUACAAGACCUGCACAGGUUCCAAUUAGACAAAAUCUCAUCACUGAAAAGGUGAAAAUACAGAGAGUCCUACCCUUCACCAGGAAAUUAUUUGCAAUUGAUAUAUAAUGAGAAAGAGAAAUCGGUUUCUUCCGAUGGAAUGUCAAUGGGAAUAUCAACCACACCACAAGUUUUGUGGCACCAUGAAAGCUGACCUCAAGGGGGAGACUUCCAGAUGAAAUCCAGUUCUAACCUUCCAUGUGCUGUGACAGAAAUAUGUGCUGUCUUCAUCAAUAGUGGCAUGCCUUCAACCUCAGAAGUAACCAACGCAACAGCAAUAACAUAUUGCUUUGGGAAUCUCUUGAUCUACCUUGACCAAUAACUUUGAAGUUCCUUGUGCCUAGUUUAGUGCUGCAGACUUUAACGCCAGCACUUUAGGAGCAGAGGCAAGUGAAUCUCUACUAGUUCCAGAUUACCUUGGCCUAUAGAGUGAGUUCCAGGCCACUUAAGGCUAUGUAGUGAGACCCUGCCUUAAACAACAACAACAAUA